rnacentral:rRNA from 1 species
GACGAACGCUGGCGGCACGCCUAACACAUGCAAGUCGAACGGUGAAGAGGAGCUUGCUCCUCGGAUCAGUGGCGGACGGGUGAGUAACACGUGAGCAACCUGCCUUUCAGUGGGGGACAACAGUUGGAAACGACUGCUAAUACCGCAUAACGUCAUUUGAGGGCAUCCUCGAAUGACCAAAGAUUUAUCGCUGAAAGAUGGGCUCGCGUCUGAUUAGAUAGUUGGUGGGGUAACGGCUCACCAAGUCGACGAUCAGUAGCCGGACUGAGAGGUUGAACGGCCACAUUGGGACUGAGACACGGCCCAGACUCCUACGGGAGGCAGCAGUGGGGGAUAUUGGACAAUGGGGGGCAACCCUGAUCCAGCGAUGCCGCGUGAGGGAGAAGGUUUUCGGAUUGGUAAACCUCUGUUGACAGGGACGAUAAUGACGGUACCUGUUUAGAAGCCACGGCUAACUACGUG